UCCACUAUUUGCUGAAAUCGUCUUAACACUUUUGAAGUCCGAAGAAAAUUUCCCAAAUCUUUGAUUCAAUUGACAAAAAAUGUUGAAAUUUUCCAUCAAAUUUGCAUAAAUUUGAGGCGUUUCCAGUUAUUUAUCCUCAAUUUCGAAAGAUUAUGGGUCAUAUUAUUGCACUUUUUCAUCAUGGAGGUCGCUUUUGCAAGGGUCAGUAUGUAUCGAUAGUACCCAAUGUUUUGUCAAUAAUAAAGAAUUGAGAGAUUGCUCUAGGGCUUCACAUCUAAAAAAGCUUAUAAAUGAGGUGUCAAAUGAAGUGGCUAGUUCUGAACAAGUGCCUCAAGAAGAAAAUAAUGACUUCAAUGAGUUUGAAGAGAAGACCUUUGAUUGCAUUCCUGAGGAAGAUGAUAGUGAAAUUGAUGAUGAAUUGAGAGGUUUUAGAGAAAAUAUAAGACAACAAAAGAAAAGUGAAGCUUCAAAG